rnacentral:rRNA from 1 species
UACGAAGGGGGCUAGCGUUGUUCGGAUUUACUGGGCGUAAAGCGCACGUAGGCGGAUCGUUAAGUCGGGGGUGAAAUCCUGGAGCUCAAUUCCAGAACUGCCUUCGAUACUGGCGAUCUUGAGUCCGGAAGAGGUGAGUGGAACUCCUAGUGUAGAGGUAGAAUUCGUAGAUAUUAGGAAGAACGCCAGUGGCGAAGGCGGCUCACUGGUCCGGUACUGACGCUGAGGUGCGAAAGCGUGGGGAGCAAACAGG